CUCCUCUCUCUCACCUGGGACCUGGCCUUUAGCCAGGCACCUUUCUUUUCCAAUGCUAAUACCUAGCUCUUUCUAAUUCAUCCUAUUAUCUACACCUUAUUCUCUUGGCUGUAAGGUUCUAAGGUUUGUGCUCAGCUACUAGCCCAAGGAACCUAGGCUAAUUCUCUCAGCCAAGCUAUAUCAUUUCUCUGAUCUGUGUGGUGUUUAAUUUUGGACUAGUGGAUGGUUCUUGCCUUUGAGAUUCCCAGCGGUCGGAGUUCUGCUGUGGCUCCAUUAAAAUGCAUUAGUGAAAGCCCAAGUGCCAGCACUGCUAUUGCAGACCUCACUUCACAUGAAGGCACCACAUCUCCAGCCAGCAAAUCCCUAGGGGCAACCAUCACUGUCAGCACUUCAGGGAUUUCAGGAAGUCUCCUCCCUCUGUGAGUGCACAUCUAAUGUCCAUGAGGACAUUAGAGACUUCUUGGACUCAGAGAAUCAGCCCCUUUGUCUCUCCCAGUGUGAUAUAUCAGAUGGGCCCUUCUUUUACUCUGCUAGAGUCCUCUGCCUCAUUGGAUCCUGUUGCCAUGACUGGGGAGCAGAGGAUGGAUGUUGCCUCUUCAUCUUUUACCACAAUGGGUACCCUGCAUCCCUAGAAGGAAACUAGCCUCUGGACUUCUGCUGAAGACGUCUUCCCUACUACUGCUGUGGAAUUUUCUGCUUGUCCAGGCACAGGGAAACCACAAUGUCACUCAAAGUAAGGAAGUAUAAGAGAGGAAAGCAGAUUCAUCACGCUAGAAGGCCAACUCAAAUGGAGGAAGGGCAAGGAGGACUAAGAGAAUUCCAGAGAAGGUAAGAAGUUGCUAAGAAGAUCCAAUCAGUUAUCUCACUUCUCUUUGGGAAGCUCCUUCAGAGAGGUUGAUCUGAGAGAACCUCUGAGCUUGAUCAUCCUUCUGUGAAGCCAGACGCCCUGAAUCCAGUAGAAGACAACAGGAGUGGAUAGGACUUUAUCCUAAAGCUAUCCACCCCAGGAAGAUUAUCGCUCUAAAGUAGUCCUUGAACUUCAUAUUAUAACUAAGAACAGAUAGAAGUCAGGACUGCUCUUACAAUUGACCCAGGAGGGUCAGGUAGACAGCCUGAUCCUUCAGGAUUUAGGGAGUGGGUCAGUUGUUGGUCUCUAGGGACCUCCUACUUCCCACCUUCCCAUUGCCUUAUCCCACAAUCUCACCUACCCUCCCUUUUGUGUGUUCCUCAAGAAUAAUUAGUUUCUAUAGAUCAAGUGCCUGCUCAUAAUAUCUAAGGAGAGGGACAUGAAGCUUUGGGUAGAACUAUACUUCCUCCCCAAGGGAGAAGAAGCAGUUCAGUCCUGGAUUUUACUUCAACCCAAUCUCUGAAGAAAUAUAUGUAGUCUGUAACCUUGAAGACAACUAGUGUGGAUUUACAGAGG
rnacentral:lncRNA from 1 species